AUGGCCCCUAGGGUUCCUUCAAACACUUCAUUGGAGAUUAUUAUGGGCAUUAUCUUAAUUAUGCCUCUCUCUCUCUCUCUCUCUCUCUCUCUCUCUCUCUCUCUCUCUCUCUCUCUCUAGUUUCUACUGAAGUGUUUGGGGGGACCCUUGGAGCCAU
rnacentral:pre_miRNA from 1 species